AGGGAAUCUUCCGCAAUGGACGAAAGUUUGACGGAGCAACGCCGCGUGAGUGAUGAAGGUCUUCGGAUCGUAAAACUCUGUUGUUAGAGAAGAACAAGUACCGUUCGAAUAGGGCGGUACCUUGACGGUACCUAACCAGAAAGCCACGGCUAACUACGUGCCAGCAGCCGCGGUAAUACGUAGGUGGCAAGCGUUGUCCGGAAUUAUUGGGCGUAAAGCGCGCGCAGGCGGUUUCUUAAGUCUGAUGUGAAAGCCCACGGCUCAACCGUGGAGGGUCAUUGGAAACUGGGAGACUUGAGUGCAGAAGAGGAGAGUGGAAUUCCACGUGUAGCGGUGAAAUGCGUAGAGAUGUGGAGGAACACCAGUGGCGAAGGCGACUCUCUGGUCUGUAACUGACGCUGAGGCGCGAAAGCGUGGGGAGCGAAC
rnacentral:rRNA from 1 species